rnacentral:rRNA from 1 species
UACAGAGGGGGCAAGCGUUGUUCGGAAUUACUGGGCGUAAAGCGCACGUAGGCGGACUUUCAAGUCAGGGGUGAAAUCCCGGAGCUCAACUUCGGAAUUGCCUUUGAUACUGUUGGUCUCGAGUCCGGAAGAGGUGGGUGGAAUUCCUAGUGUAGAGGUGAAAUUCGUAGAUAUUAGGAAGAACACCGGUGGCGAAGGCGGCCCACUGGUCCGGUACUGACGCUGAGGUGCGAAAGCGUGGGGAGCAAACAGG